rnacentral:rRNA from 1 species
UAAGCGGAGGAAAAGAAACUAACAAGGAUUCCCCUAGUAACGGCGAGUGAAGCGGGAAGAGCUCAAAUUUGAAAUCUGGUAGCCUUCGGUUGCCCGAGUUGUAAUCUAGAGAAGUGUUUUCCGUGCCGGCCCAUGUACAAGUCCCUUGGAACAGGGCGUCAUAGAGGGUGAGAAUCCCGUCCUUGACAUGGACCCCCGGUGCUUUGUGAUACACUUUCAACGAGUCGAGUUGUUUGGGAAUGCAGCUCAAAAUGGGUGGUGAAUUCCAUCUAAAGCUAAAUAUUGGCGAGAGACCGAUAGCGAACAAGUACCGUGAGGGAAAGAUGAAAAGCACUUUGGAAAGAGAGUUAAACAGUACGUGAAAUUGUUGAAAGGGAAACGAUUGAAGUCAGUCAUGCUCUUGGGACUUACCUCCCUUGAGUGGGGUCAACAUCAGUUUUGAUCGAUGGAUAAAGGCACGAGGAAGGUAGCACUCUCGGGUGAACUUAUAGCCUCGCGUCAUAUACAUUGAUUGGGACUGAGGAACGCAGCAUGCCUUAUGGCCGGGAUUCGUCCACGUACAUGCUUAGGAUGUUGACAUAAUGGCUUUAAACGACCCGUCUUGAAACAC